rnacentral:misc_RNA from 1 species
GUGUUGUUUGCGUGCAUCAGCAUCCGCUCAGUCAGCCUCGCUGCAUCAAAAAAAGGUUGGGACAAAUGGCGUGCCAUGGUACGCAGUACCGGCAUUCAAUAAUGAUCCUUCCGCAGGUUCACCUACGGAAA